rnacentral:rRNA from 1 species
GAUGAACGCUGGCGGCGUGCCUAAUACAUGCAAGUAGAACGCUGAAGGAGGAGCUUGCUCUUUCCGGAUGAGUUGCGAACGGGUGAGUAACGCGUAGGUAACCUGCCUGGUAGCGGGGGAUAACUAUUGGAAACGAUAGCUAAUACCGCAUAACAGUAGAUAUUGCAUGAUAUUUGCUUGAAAGGGGCAAUUGCUCCACUACCAGAUGGACCUGCGUUGUAUUAGCUAGUUGGUGAGGUAACGGGUCACCAAGGCGACGAUACAUAGCCGACCUGAGAGGGUGAUCGGCCACACUGGGACUGAGACACGGCCCAGACUCCUACGGGAGGCAGCAGUAGGGAAUCUUCGGCAAUGGACGGAAGUCUGACCGAGCAACGCCGCGUGAGUGAAGAAGGUUUUCGGAUCGUAAAGCUCUGUUGUAAGAGAAGAACGAGUGUGAGAGUGGAAAGUUCACACUGUGACGGUAUCUUACCAGAAAGGGACGGCUAACUACGUG